rnacentral:lncRNA from 1 species
AUAGGACGAGGAGGAAGGCCUUUAGGAGCCUGACCUGAGAGAGCUUCGACUUAAGCUCUCCAUCCACCACUCUCUUUUGAGAUAGUCAGAGAUACUUUGGAGGUAGAAGUCCAAGAUGCAGUGGAUCAGGGAGGACAAUCGGAACAUUAGGUUCUUUCAUCAGUCGACGAUGAUUUAAAGAUCCAUCAAUCACAUCAAACAGCUGAGGAAGAUCAAUGGUAAAGUGGUGGAGUGCUGUAAUAAAAUUAGGGGAU